rnacentral:rRNA from 1 species
GACGAACGCUGGCGGCGUGCUUAACACAUGCAAGUCGAACGGAAAGGCCUGCUUUCCCUUGUGGAUUGCGGGUACUCGAGUGGCGAACGGGUGAGUAACACGUGAGUGAUCUGCCCCCAACUUGGGUAUAAGCCCGGGAAACUGGGUCUAAUUCCCGAUAGGACUGCAGGGUGGUGCCUGUGGUGGAAAACGAUCUUCUAGUGGUUGGGGAUGAGCCCGCGGCCUAUCAGCUUGUUGGUGGGGUAAUGGCCUACCAAGACGGCGACGGGUAGCCGGCCGGGGAGGGGGGACGGCGGCAUUGGGACUGAGAUACGGCCCAGACUCCUGCGAGAGGUAGGAGUGGGGAAGAAUAGACAAUGGGCGGAAGCCUGAUGCGGCGACGCCGCGUGGGGGAUGACGGCCUUCGGGUUGUAAACUCCUUUCGACCGCGAGGAAGCCACCUGGUUGGAAGGGUGGUGACGGUAGUGGUAGAAGAAGCACCGGCUAACUACGUG